AUUCGGCUACAUUUCUCUCUU
ensembl:piRNA 21ur-3191 ncRNA